GGUAGAGUGGUCUCCUCAGAUCCGAAUGCUUUCGUCAUGGGAAGGCAGAUUUUGGAUGCAUCUCUAAUUGCAAAUGAGGUGAUCGACUCAUGGCAAAAAAGAGGAGAGAAAGGCCUAAUCUGCAAAUUAGAUAUUGAAAAGGCGUAUGACAGCGUAAAUUGGCAGUUCUUGAUGAGGGUUCUGCAAAAAAUGGGGUUUGGGGCUACGGCAAGGUGAUCCUAUAUCCCCAUAUCUGUUUGUCAUGGGAAUGGAGGUGCUGAGUGCCCUCAUUCGGAGGGCUGUGGAAGGGGGCUGCAUUUCUGGGUGCAAAGUUUGGAGGGGCAGGGGGCAGGUUGUUAAUAUUUCCCAUCUUCUCUUUGUGGAUGAUGCAAUAGUUUUCUGUGAGGCUAGGAAAGAAGACAUGACCUACUUGAGCUGGAUUUUAUGUUGGUUUGAAGCCGUCUCAGGGCUGAGGAUAAAUCUGGCUAAAAGUGAAAUUAUUCCAGUAGGGGAGGUGGAAGAGAUCCUUGAGAUGGCUAUGGAGUUGGGAUGCAAGGUAGGUCAGCUGCCAUCAACUUACCUGGGGCUGCCCUUGGGUGCGUCUAAUAAAGCCUCUUGUGUGUGGGAUGGGGUGGAAGAAAGGAUGAAGUGGAAAUUGGCCCUUUGGAAACGGCAAUACAUCUCCAAGGGCGGUAGAAUCACCCUCAUAAAGAGUACUUUGGCUAGCAUGCCUUUAUAUCAAUUGUCCCUUUUCCGUAUGCCUAGGACAGUGGCAAGAAGGCUAGAAAAGUUGCAAAGAGAUUUCUCUUAGGGAGGGGGAAGUACGGAAAGAAAAGCCCACCUAGUCAAUUGGGAGAGGGUGUGUGUGGGUAAGGAGAAGGGGGGGCUUGGUUUGAGGAAGUUAGUCCCCUUGAACAAAGCUUUGCUUGGAAAAUGGGUGUGGAGAUUUGCUCGGGCCAAGGACGAGAUGUGGAAACAAGUUCUUGUGGCAAAAUACGGGCAAGAGGAAUUUGGGUGGAGGACUAAAAAGGCAAAUGGGGCGUUUGGUGUUGGGGUUUGGAAGGAGAUCUUGAAAGAAGCUGAUUGGUGUUGGGAUAAUAUGACUUUUAAGGUGGGAAAAGACACCAGAAUUAGGUUUUGGAAGGAUCUUUGGUGUGGGGAUGUGGAGCUGUCUCGAAGGUUCCCUCAACUCUUCGUUGCGGCUGCCCAAAGGAAUGCCACAGUGGGGGAUAUGUGGGACCAGAAUUCUGGUCAAGGAGGUUAGAAUCUAAGGUUCAUUAGAGGCUUCAAUGAUUGGGAGCUGAACAUGGUAGGCGAAUUACUCCAAAUCUUAAGGAGUCAAAGAAUUACCUUGGAGGAGGACUUGACCUUUUGGAAAGGAGGAAAAAAUGGGAAGUUUGGCGUUAAGGAAGCAUAUGGUUUGAUGAUGAGCCCUAGUGUAUCCAUGUUUCCUAAAAAAGGCAUUUGGGUGGAGAACGUUCCUUCUAAGUUAGCGUUCUUUGCGUGGGAAGCUACUUGGGGGAGGGUUUUUACCCUUGAUAGGCUUCAAAAGAGAGGAUGACAGCUUCCUAAUCGUUGUUAUUUAUGUGGUAGUGAUGAGGAAAAUGUAAAUCAUCUACUUAUUCAUUGUACAAUGGCUAGAGUGUUGUGGGGGAUUGUUUUUGGUUUGUUUGGUGCCCAGUGGGUCUUUCCAGAAUCUGUAAAGGAGGUGGUUCUUAGCUGGAAGGGUUCUUUGUGGGUAAAAAGAGGG